rnacentral:rRNA from 1 species
UACGUAGGGGGCAAGCGUUGUCCGGAUUUAUUGGGCGUAAAGAGCGUGUAGGCGGCCAGAUAGGUCUGCUGUGAAAACUCGAGGCUUAACCUCGAGAUGUCGGCGGAAACCAUCUGGCUAGAGUCCGGAAGAGGAGAGUGGAAUUCCUGGUGUAGCGGUGAAAUGCGCAGAUAUCAGGAAGAACACCCGUGGCGAAGGCGGCUCUCUGGGACGGUACUGACGCUGAGGCACGAAAGCGUGGGGAGCAAACAGG